rnacentral:lncRNA from 1 species
GCUAGAUAGAUGGGCUAGGGACCACAUGUGGCCUGUGGGCCAUAGUUUGGGAACUUCUGCUCUAAGGUCUUCUAAGUACAGAUCCAAACUUGAAAAGUAGAGGACAAGUUGUGAAUUUCCCAGCUCAAUGGAGGAUCAGGGAGACACAGUAGUCCCUGGUGAUAUGUUACAGACUAGAAGAUGCCCCUUCUUUCUUCCAUAAUCUCAAUAUGUAAAACUUCUCUUUCCUUCAGAUGGCCCAGAUAUUGCCACGAUUGCCCAUUCAGUAGAUGAGUACCCUAUUGGAGCAAAUAUUACCUUGAGCUGUUCUGCUGUUUCUAAUCCACCAGUCCAAUUCACUUGGUUGCACAACGGACAACCAGUCAGCAACUCAGCCACAUUUUCAUUUAUUGCAUCCAUGACUCUUUCUGGAACUUAUACCUGUAAUGCAGCCAACUCAUUGACUGGCUUGACACGCUCCGCAACCAAGAAUGUUAUAAUCUAUGAUGACAGAGAUCCAGAGAUCGAUGAUGAAGGUGAGACAACAGUCAAGUAAAGACAAAGACAUCUAGACCUGUGUUAACUUCAAUCAACACCAGAGGCUGGCAGAGACACAACUGGACAACCGGGAAGAACUUUAAAUCAAGGACAUUGUAGGAAAUGAACUUCCAUUAAAGGGACAUGUAAGAUUGAAUCACUGUACACAUUAACAUCACAUUUAGGGAAUUACAUCCACAUGCACUUACAAAUCUGCAUAAGAAGAAAAAAGGUGAUCAAUCCAUCAGGCAACACAAGAAUUAGAAAUCCAGGGGAUAAUGUGAGUAUAUGCAUUCAUCACCACAUAUUUAGCACACAAACCAUGAAUUCACACUGACCUUAAGGGUUGAUUCUUAAAUAAGGGCAGCCCACAAAAUUGAACAUUUGUAAAUAACUUUCUGGUAGAACUCUUGCAGAUAGGAAGGAAAAGACUUUCCUGUCUGAAUGACUUCAAACGGGAGUAUAUGUUUAAGUAUAAGUAUACAUACACACAUAUAUGUUGUAUCACAUGUAAUAUUUGUAGAGAAAUCAUAUGGGUACAUACGUAAAGACUAACAAUGUAAUCUACUAACUUAAAGUAAGAAAAGUAAUUAACACAUUAACUCCUAACAGACAGGGACAGAGUAGUUUUUAGGGAGGAAAAGGGACUUCUGUAACUAGAUAGUUAGCACAGAGACAGAACAUACUAUACUGUAAAAGAUAGAGGAGAGCAUAUAUCUAGAUAUGAUAAAAUUGUUACAUUUUAAUAAGCAUUAUAUAUAUGGCAUAAGACUGUUUAUUUUUACCCAAUAGUUAAAUGUUAUAUUGGUUGAAAUAGGAAUAAGCACUGUAUUUAUAGUUACAACUUAGCUAACUGAUGGAAUUGUUACAUUGCAUGAACCCUUAUAACAUGUGUUACCCCAACCCUCCUUCCCACAACUCAGUCUUUAGCAUAAGGUAGGAACUUAGUGUAGGAGACAGGUAGAUCUAGAUAAGAUUUGUUAUUUUGGGAGGGGGGAGUAGUAAAUAGAAUAAAUUACAUUAGGAAUAAUUUAAGGUAAUUAAG